AUUGGGAGCCCAGGUAGUCUUUUCUUCUGUGCUCCCUGGUGCAGGCCAUGGUCCCAGAAGGGAAGGAUGCAUCGAGGAAGUGAAGUGGCAACUCCAACGCUGGUGCCACCAAGAAGGCUUCGGAUUCCUUGACCACGGUGCACACUUCAGGGUGAAAAGACUCCUCGGAAGGGACAGCAUCCACCUCACGAGGAAAGAUUGCAUAAGCAAAUCAGAAAAAAACCCCCAAUGUGAUACCAGAUGUGUCUGGACAUUCCACCAUAAGGAGAAUCGCCAAAUGGCAUCAGGCUAUCAUAACAACUUUAGGCCACCCCAACUCUCAGCCCUUGGCAUAGGGCCAUACUGGGCAUGUGACCAGAGAACAGCUGCGCUCCAGUGAUUAUGGCUGUCAGAACAGGCCCUUCAGGAUCAUCGCAGCCAAGUACAGUUUAUAACAGCCCUGUGGCUGCUCUGAAUUGCAUCUGAAACAGAACUAAUCCCAAAAUGGGACUUGAGAAAGGUCUCUCUUCUCUAUCUUUCUCCACUUUGUGCAACUGAGGAUCAGUCCCUAUGACAGUUGUUCAGGAGUAACACUGCAAAACAAUCUACUGUUUGCGUAAGGACAAUAGUGUCAACAGAAGACGGGAAGGCUCUCGCCUGAGGAACGUCUGUUCUACAAAGCCACUUCAAAAAUAACUUCUCAGUGGCAUGAAAAGAAAACAUCUGUGAAGCAUGCAGCAGCAAGAGGAGGAGAGAGAAGACAAGGGAUAUUGGAAGAGGAUUAGUAACAGACAACUUAUUGAGUGCCAGUGGCAUAACCUCUAUUAUCCCUUUCAGAUUACACCCACAUAUAAAAGUCAAGGUUUGUGUUUUGAAGUAGGGGAGACUAGAUGGGUGUGGAAAAGACAAGCUGCAAGUUACUCUUAAAGGAAUGGUCAAAGGAAAAACAAAACAGAACACAAAACAUCUUAUGCUUUGCACAUUAUAUACAAAGCCUUCUGGUCCCAUCAUGCAGCCAAGAAGCAAGGGUUGGAGGGAGGGUAGCUCAUUGCUAGUGAAGCAUGAGGACUACAUUUGAGCAGUUUACAUAAGUAGAACUUGGUAUGUGUGUGUAUAUGGACUUACUCAUUAUUUUCCUUUGUUGUAUUUUACAUGUUGGAUGCAUCACACAAGAUUUUAUUAGAAAAGCAUUGUUUUUAUUAAAAUGAUAUAUAAACAAGCCAUCUGCCUUCACACAUGUAUCUGCAGAUUUUUUAACACAGUUUGAAUCAAGAAAGUUAUGGAACGGCUCUUUUCUGGGUAUGGGGUGUGUGACACAUGGCACUGUCUUACACAUUUAGCAUAAAAUUGAUUUCAAUUGAUGUGUGUAUUACUCUCCCGUUUUAAAAGUGAGAUACUCAGCAGUUAGUCAGUUAUACCAAUACAGUGCCUCAGCAACUCUUAACCAAGAACACAUAUUAUUGAAACAUUUCCCACAACAUCAUGUGGCCUCAGAAUCCUGUUGGUUAGCUAUAGAAUAAACAGUCAGAAAUUCCUGGAAA